UUUUUUUCACUUUCGUUUAAUUAUAAUUGAGCUAAAAAUAAGAAAUAGUGAAAAAUGGAAAACCAAGAAAAUUCUAUGAAGCUGUUGAUCUUUUCAUUGUCUAUAUUAAUUGAUUCACACUACAAAAGCCAAGAAGAAGAAGAAGAAGAAAAAAACUAGAGACUAAAAACAACCAUUUAAUUCCUCCUUUCAAGUAAAAAAGGAGAAAUUAAUUAAUCCAGCUAAAAUAUCAAACCCACUUCUCAUUACAUCCUCUGAUGAAAAAUAACAUCAUCAAACAUAAAAACACCUUCACCAUGUACAUGAGUUAAAUGUCUUGUUUUUUUCUUUUAAGGAAAAAGAAAGAGAAGAAAGAGAAAAAUAAAAAUAAGAACCCAAUAAGUCACCUUUAUCCAAAAAAACUACUAUUGAUAUCUUUUGUUUUUCUUCAUGGUGAUCUCCAACUUCUUAAGCCAAUGUCAUUGUGUUUCCUUGAAGGAGUUGAGUAUGGUAUAUGCAUCCUUUUUGGCAAGAAACCAAAGAAAUGACCUUGAUGCUCAGAUUUAGGCUUCACUUUGAAGUCAUUUGUUGUUCUUGAUCCAUGACAUUGUCCUAAUAUGAAGAGAAUUAAAAGCAGCCAGAUAACAAGAAGCUGUAGAGGUCUUCUACACAACACCAUGUUGAUGUUGUGUAACAAAGUUUCACUAUGGAUUUUCUAGAUGAAAGAUGUGUUUACAAGUUGAAUGUUGAAACAACUAGGUUUUUAGGCAAAUGAGGGGUGAGAAUAGAAAGAAAAAAAAAAAAAAAGAAGAGAGAACUAAUUGGGAGAUUUUGUUUAGGAAAAUGAGUGUUUGAUUUUGAAGUUUUGGAUGUGUUUGUGUUUGAGAAAUGAAAGAGUGAAAGGAGAAGCAGAAAGUUGAAAAGGGUGGAGAAGGCUUUUAGGAACGGGUCUUAUGGGGGUGGAGUGAUUAUUAUUAUAAUGAGAAAAGAAAGAAAAAUGAAUAUUUAUUUAAUUAAAUAAAUUAAAGUGAAACAGUACAUGAGGUACAACAAAGGAAAAGCAAAUAAUAAAAAAAUGAAGCAAAAGAGAUAUGUGUGUUUGUGUU
rnacentral:lncRNA from 1 species